AGUUAAAUAAAAUAUAUUAAUUAAAGUAAACUAAUUCAAAACAGAGGAUCAUGUUAAUUAGAGGAGCCCGAAAUCCUAAUCUAAUAAUCAGAACCACAAAUCCAAAUAAACUCUAUAUUACAUCUAUGAAGGAACCAUGUAAUAAUCUCUGAGAACAAGCAGGCAGCAUACAUAACACGGUAAGAAGCCAACUUGAUACAUGAGGCGAGUCUAUCCCAUCAGAAGCCAACUUGUAGAGUUUUCUGAUCCUUUUUCCAACGACAAGGUAAGAAAAAAUGAUACACACAUCCAUGCCCGACCAGUUUAAUUGGGAAAGUUGAUUUAACGACGACAUUAGAGAUGCGGAGAAAUCGGAAGUAUCAAAAGUUCAGAUCUGGAUCUGGGUUGUUCAGAUCUGGAUCUGAAUAGAUUUGAUUAAAAGGCCUCUCCCUAUGAUACUUUCUUCAAAUCCUUCUUCUAAAAUCCAUUUCUCAAAGCAAUCGUGUUCAAGAAAUCGUGUUCAUCAAUGGUGUUCAAGCAAUCACGUUUAUCAAUGAAAUUCUUGUUACCUCUCUCGACCUUUGUUGAAUAAUGAAACAGGGCCAACGAAUUUGGGUUGUUAGCUUUGGUUUGAUUUUGAUUUUGAUGAGUUUCAGAUUAAGUACUGCUUUUAUAUUUGUGGUGAAGAGGAUGAGUUUCAGAUUUGAUGAGUUUCAAAAGUAUUGCUUUCAUAUUUUGAUAAGUUUCAGAUUUGAAGAAGAUGAAUUCAGAUUUGUGGAUUUGUGGGGGAGAAGAUGAUGAAUUAUAUUAGAUAAUUUUGUAUCUUUAAAGUUAAUUUUAAAUAUUUAAAAAUUAAAAAAAAUAAUAUGUAUUCAUUAAUUUUAUAUAAAUACAUUUAUAAAAAUUAUAUAUUUAUUAAAUUUUUAUUAAUUUAAUUAUUUGUUAUUUAAAAAAAGAGAGAAU
rnacentral:lncRNA from 1 species